AUGAACGAUGUUGGCUCGCAGCACCCUGUUGUUGAUGAGACCAGUCAUAAUGUUGAGGCUGCUGUUGACGGUGGAGUUAAUGAUCUAUCCACUGAUAAGUGCAAGGGUCCUAUUGUUGGCGAUGAGCCUUGUUUGCCUGUUGGUGAUGUCGCUUUGAAUGUUAGCAGCAGCAAGUUCGAUGAUGUUGCUGUGAAUGCUUCCAAGAUUACUAUUGUUGAGCGUGAGGUUGUCCUUAGUGGUGGAGAUGAUGCUCAUGAUGUUCCAUUGAGUAGUGGGUGCAAUGUUGGUACCAAAGUUGCUGAUGAGGAUGCUGGUGCUGCCAGCAUACUUGAUGCCAAAUCGCCUGGUGUUGGUAUUGCUGGGAAUGAAAAUGUUUCUGGUUGUGAAGAUUUGCCGCCGGAGAAUUUCCCGCCUGGAGGUCUUGAUUACGGUGAUGCAUUGCAAUAUGCUUCUAGCGUGGAGGAGGUGCCAUCCGAGGAUGAUGAUUUACUUCUGUCAAUUUCUUCUGACCCCUUGACGCAGGAGGCGCUCUUGUCGUCCCAGGAUUUUUUGUCUACAGACCCUGAAAGCGCAUCAAUAUUGGUGCCCUCUCAAGAUGUCCCAUCAUCAAACCCUGAAACUGGAGGCAUAAUGGUCUCAUCACAGGAACUACCGUCAUCGUCAAACCCUGAUAGUCCAGAAAGUGGUAAUGUUGUUAAGGUUGAUACAUUUUUCUUCGCUGUUACGAGGUUGCGCACGAACCGUACGAAAUGUGACAAGCCGAUGUUUCAAAAUAAAGAAUGUGAUGCCAGUGUUGGUUCUAUUGCUAAAGCGUUUGUCCCCACUGGCAUGCUCAACUCAGACAAUGCUGAUGUUGUUUUAUAUUCUCUACGUCAGAAGUACCGAGACACUGACAAGUUGAUAGUUCCCAGAUGGACCAAGAUCCGUGAUGGAAAUAUUGAUUCCAAUGUGCUAAAUUGGUUCACAAGAUCAGGUGCUGAUGGUUUUGACCAAUGGGGUGAUGCAGUUAGAUUCUUAAGGAAUAUGACAGAUAAUAUAAAGAGGCUUUGGAGGGAGUCCAGUGUAGACAGGGCCAAACCAUUCUCACCGGCGCAUAUUGAUGGUUUCUCUUGCGAGUUUGUGCGGGUGCCUCAGCAGGAAAACACGCAUGAUUGUGGAUUCUUUGUGCUACAAAACUGCAAGACCUAUUAUUGCCGGGAGGAUGGUGUAAUUGAAGUGAGUGGCUGGAUCUUGGUGAGCCUGACUACAGGUUCUUUGGUAGCCAGUUCUUGGAGCUCGAGCGCGUAG
rnacentral:rRNA from 1 species